UCUAUACCCUUAUAUUCCCAACUGCUAACCGCUUCUUGAUUAUUCCCUUUGUGAAUGGUGGUGAGACGAAACGCACACCUUCCAAUUGCCUUGUGGUGAGUGAGGUACCAUUGGAUGUGUAUAUUCAUACGGGGCUUCCUUUCGGAAGGUCGCCGAUCUCGAAUAUUGAGAAUCUACUUCCUCUAGCCAAUGAGGACUAGAUUUAUCUUCUUGGUGUUGUUCCCCCUUUGUCUUGAGUUCCAAAGUGAGCAAUUGAAACUACGCUGGCUCACCAACACUUUUGGUCAUGUCAUCCCAGCUACCAACGAAGUUGCUCUUUAAAAGGCUCGCGCUAUAUAUGAUCCUUUUCACCCUAGGCUCGUUCCUUUUCUGCCAUGGGAACGAGCGGAUGCGUGCUUGGUUCGCUUAACCGAGGAUAUUUCGUCAUCGUACAACUGAAAUGCUGUCAUCUUAGCUCGACUUUACCAUGGUCUUGACAAAGUUUCCCGCACCACCGAGUCUUUCACAGACUUCUAGCCUUUGGUUGAGCAUCACAACUUAAAGAUCAAGAUCCCCAACUUAUCGGUUGACAAUGGUCCCAACGUAUCUCAGCAGCUAGCUGGAGAGCCGUUAUUGACGGUCUUUCUUGGAGAGAUCCUUACACUUGUGUAGCUGUGUAUAUAUGGCCUUUCGGGGCUGAAGCUCUUGCCAGGUCAUGCCAGUGUCGCCUCCUUGCAGAUCCGAAGACUUACAAAUGGUAUCUAGGUGAGCGACUUCUCCGACAAAUGACAAAAUCCAUUCGGUUCCGCUCACACCUCUCGAGCCAGCUUUAUGGAGGCAGGUACUCGCAGACGAGUUUCUUGCUGCAGUCAAUGAUCUUCCGUCUAAACACUUCAUCAUUCCUGCUCCGCAUGCUGACUGCAGGGAGCAGGAGUGCAAAGAUGAGGAUGACGAUGACGACUACAUCGGUGGAUAUUAGGGUUUCUUCAUGCCUUCUUAUCAGCUUGUGUCUCUUUUCAUGUACUGGUGUUUUCCUUGUGUAUGGUUGGAUUUGUUGAAUUAAUGAAAUGGGUUUCUUGAUCAAUGAUUAGAUCACUUUGGGUGCUGAUGUGUUCACUUAAACCUUUAUUUUGAUGCUUUCCUGCAUUGGAAUGACUUUCGUCGGCUUGGAUUUGACUCUGACAGCCUAGAUUAUCAAUUGCCAUUUUGAUCGAGGGUUGGUCACUUUCUUGCUUAACAGAGCUUCUUUUAGUCUUCUUCUUUGUUAUCUGGUGCUUUGAAAGAGUGUUAUACGAUCCGGAUCGAGUUUCGUUCAAGUCUGAGGGUCGUCCGAGUUAUGGGCGGCAAAACUG